CAAUGGUGCCAGAGGAGUCCAGACAUUUUAUUUUUAAGAUACUGCCAACUGCAAAAAAAACAAAUCCCCUGAAAUGUUGCUGGGUCUGUUAUAAAAAAGGGAAAAGUACAGGCACCCCUUUGCACUGUUUUUUUUUUCUUUUGAAAGCAGCAAAUUUUAGUUAGUCAGUUUCCUUCCCCCCAAAUCUCCAGUUAGAUUCUUUUUGCAGGAGUUAGUUUAGAG